AACGAACGCUGGCGGCAUGCCUAACACAUGCAAGUCGAACGAGACCUUCGGGUCUAGUGGCGCACGGGUGCGUAACGCGUGGGAACCUGCCCUUAGGUUCGGAAUAACUCCCCGAAAGGGGUGCUAAUACCGGAUAAUGUCUUCGGACCAAAGAUUUAUCGCCUUUGGAUGGGCCCGCGUUGGAUUAGCUAGUUGGUAGGGUAAAAGCCUACCAAGGCGACGAUCCAUAGCUGGUCUGAGAGGAUGAUCAGCCACACUGGGACUGAGACACGGCCCAGACUCCUACGGGAGGCAGCAAUGGGGAAUAUUGGACAGUGGGCGAAAGCCUGAUCCAGCAAUGCCGCGUGAGUGAUGAAGGCCUUAGGGUUGUAAAGCUCUUUUACCCGGGAUGAUAAUGACAGUACCGGGAGAAUAAGCUCCGGCUAACUCCGUG
rnacentral:rRNA from 1 species